GGGGAAUAUUGCACAAUGGGCGAAAGCCUGAUGCAGCAACGCCGCGUGAGUGAUGAAGGCCUUCGGGUUGUAAAGCUCUGUCUUUGGGGACGAUAAUGACGGUACCCAAGGAGGAAGCCACGGCUAACUACGUGCCAGCAGCCGCGGUAAUACGUAGGUGGCGAGCGUUGUCCGGAUUUACUGGGCGUAAAGGAUGCGUAGGCGGAUGUUUAAGUGAGAUGUGAAAUACCCGGGCUUAACUUGGGUGCUGCAUUUCAAACUGGAUAUCUAGAGUGCGGGAGAGGAGAAUGGAAUUCCUAGUGUAGCGGUGAAAUGCGUAGAGAUUAGGAAGAACACCAGUGGCGAAGGCGAUUCUCUGGACCGUAACUGACGCUGAGGCAUGAAAGCGUGGGUAGCAAAC
rnacentral:rRNA from 1 species